CCCCCUGGGGCAGGCUGGCAGCAUCGCCACCGGCCCCUCGCCCGGCGCUGGCCGCUCGCAUCCCGCAGGGACGAUCCCCGCGCUGCCGCCAAGCCACGCGGGUCGUGGCAGCUCGGGGAAGGCUGCAGAGAGAAACCUUCCCGUGGCAGGGCUUGCGAGUGGGCUGUCAGCCGCCUCUCUGCCCCCCAGGAGAUGCUGCGGGAGAUGAGGAGGGCUGGGAAAGACCCCGCGUACCCACUACUCGGCGGGUACCCUGCCCCGUCCUCUCUCCUCCGCAGUGGGCAUCCCUAGCCGAGGGACAGGGGAGCUCCGCAGGGCCGAGGCGGCGUGCGGGGGCGGCGAGAGGUGGGAGCCCCCCGCGCCUCGCAGGCAGCUUUUCCACCUUCCCUUGCACGGGGUAAUGGCGUCAGAUGCCACGUAGGCCCGCAAAGCUAAAUCUGCCUGUGCACCCUUCCAGGGCCAGCAAAGCACCGCCAUAACCACAGUAAGGAAAAAGGAUCUCAGCCUGAAUUUGGCUAUACCGGGAGAAAGAAAAGUUCUGAGGAGCUGUUAUUAUAUAUUCUAAUGAGAAGUCAUUGGAGAAAUUAAAAAGGGCAGAGAAAGACGAAGACGCCAGCACUAAUUCCGCAGGAAGCCUCCCAGGGAAAAGGCUGUGUGAGUGUGAACGCUGAAAAGCAUGAAGGCCUGGAAUUAGACUAUCAUUUAGAAAGCGUUACUAAUCCGAAGUUACAGCAGUAAUUCCAUGAUUUGCUGGGUCCCACACGCAGCGCCAGAAUUAAAGAUACGGAUUUUCUAGAAAUGUAACUCAACUGUGGCACCGAGUCUCGGCAAGAUCCGAAUGAAUCAUUCAUUCCAAAGGCAGCGAAAGACGUGUCAUUAAGAACCAACCUCCUUCUCUCCAGCCCAUCUGGAAUAUGUAUACUCGAUGCAAUCCCAGAAAUUGUGGAAGAGAUCGGAGAAUUCCUGGAACCUGAUGCCUGCCUGGGGCUGUUUCUGGAUCGGCACAGACAUGACUGAGAGUUCGUGGAGUGGGAUGCCUUGGGAAGGGCUGGGACGUCUCCACCUGUGCAAGGAGAGGGCAGACCCAGCGAGGCUGGUGAGCUGUUUGGAGGGGUCUGGGCUGCCAAGGAGUGCGGGCAGUGGGAAGCGAGGCAAUUGAGCAGACACGUCAGAUGGUCUUCCUCAGCAGAGAUGACUUGAUCCCAGUGAGUGGACAAGGAACUUUUGAAGCCUGUGAGUUCCUUCCUGCAGUUGGCUACCACCUGCCCGGACUUGCCAUCUGACUUCUCCGAGUUUCUCCAGGAGGGUCUCAACCUGCUUCUCCAUUGGCCCCGGAGAGGAAUCAGCUUUGUCUCAUGGACACAGUGGAUUUCUGCAUCACUUUGAAACAGCGGUGCAGCCAUGGGGAGGGAGCCAGGGCAACACAGGGAGCCAAGGGAUCAUCCCACAUCACUCCUGUACGUUGCCUUCAGUGCCCUCAAUACCCCAGGGCAGAACCAAAGUGCUUAGGCAGAGAGACCUGAGCCAGUCACUGCUUACCUGGUGAAAUACCAGGUGUGUGAAGUUUGGAGGGAGCUUUUAGCCCCCGGCUUUGCUCAUGGAGCAGAGCUCGGCCCUUGCUGCUCUUGAUCCCUGGGUCUGUGGAGCUGUGGGAGUGCAGCCUUCCCAAAGGCACUGUCCUUGGGGCCCAGAGGGCCAUGAGCCUGUCCAGGCCAGGCAGCCCUGCUACUGUUGUACUGCACCCUCUCUUUUCCUGUAAGAGAAAUGUACUGCCUGUAAUUCUCCCCCAUUCAAAUCCCCCCCACCCCAUGCACUGUUGAUAAUAAACUCUCCCUUUUGCAAAAGUGAG
rnacentral:lncRNA from 1 species